rnacentral:misc_RNA from 1 species
GAUGAAGAACGUAGCAAAAUGCGAUAAGUACUGUGAAUUGCAGAAUUCAGUGAAUCAUCGAAUCUUUGAACGCACAUUGCGCCCGCCAGUAUUCUGGCGGGCAUGCCUGUUCGAGCGUCAUUUCAACCCUCAAGCACAGCUUGGUGUUGGGACUCGCGUUAAUUCGCGUUCCCCAAAUUGAUUGGCGGUCACGUCGAGCUUCCAUAGCGUAGUAGUAAAACCCUCGUUACUGGUAAUCGUCGCGGCCACGCCGUUAAACCCCAACUUCUGAAUGUUGACCUCGGAUCAGGUAGGAAUACCCGCUGAACUUAAGCAUAUCAAUAAGCGGAGGA